UGCAGUCGAGCGGAUGAAGGGAGCUUGCUCCUGGAUUCAGCGGCGGACGGGUGAGAAAUGCCUAGGAAUCUGCCUGGUAGUGGGGGACAACGUUUCGAAAGGAACGCUAAUACCGCAUACGUCCUACGGGAGAAAGCAGGGGACCUUCGGGCCUUGCGCUAUCAGAUGAGCCUAGGUCGGAUUAGCUAGUUGGUGAGGUAAUGGCUCACCAAGGCGACGAUCCGUAACUGGUCUGAGAGGAUGAUCAGUCACACUGGAACUGAGACACGGUCCAGACUCCUACGGGAGGCAGCAGUGGGGAAUAUUGGACAAUGGGCGAAAGCCUGAUCCAGCCAUGCCGCGUGUGUGAAGAAGGUCUUCGGAUUGUAAAGCACUUUAAGUUGGGAGGAAGGGUUGUAGAUUAAUACUCUGCAAUUUUGACGUUACCGACAGAAUAAGCACCGGCUAACUCUGUGCCAGCAGCCGCGGUAAUACAGAGGGUGCAAGCGUUAAUCGGAAUUACUGGGCGUAAAGCGCGCGUAGGUGGUUCGUUAAGUUGGAUGUGAAAUCCCCGGGCUCAACCUGGGAACUGCAUCCAAAACUGGCGAGCUAGAGUAUGGUAGAGGGUGGUGGAAUUUCCUGUGUAGCGGUGAAAUGCGUAGAUAUAGGAAGGAACACCAGUGGCGAAGGCGACCACCUGGACUGAUACUGACACUGAGGUGCGAAAGCGUGGGGAGCAAACAGGAUUAGAUACCCUGGUAGUCCACGCCGUAAACGAAUGUCAACUAGCCCUUUGGGAAGCCUUGAAGCUCUUAGUGGCGCAGCUAACGCAUUUAAGUUUGACCGCCCUGGGGG
rnacentral:rRNA from 1 species